rnacentral:misc_RNA from 1 species
GGAUUGUUAAAUUAAAGAAAAUUUCAGUUCUUUUACAUUCUAGUGGACAACAGAAUUUCUCUUCCUUGUGGAUUCAAGGAUUUUUAAGCUUUAGAUGUGUUCUCGGCUCUGGCCUUGUUUAACGCUUCUGUAUAGCUUAUUUAUAGUUUUCCUUGUUGCUAAGCAAAAUCAAACAGAAAUUUUAUGUAGCAAGAGUUUUGAAGGAUUUUAGAUGAAGAAAGUGUGAAACUGAUGACUAGAGAAGAGGUUGAAUGUAGGGGAAAUGCAAGCUGGAGCUGGCAGCAAAAAUCUAGCCUUUUAUACAUGUAACAGCUGUUAGUCAUUAUCAUACUAGUAAUGAACAAAUGACAAUCGCUACUAAGGCAAAAUUUUUUUGCCUAUAG